UGCAGAGUGAUUCAACUACAGCUGACCGCAGAUCUAGCUAAACCAGCUGAAAUACAGAGCAUUCUCUUAGUACAGGGACAGCAUGGAUCCAACAUCUUCAAACUCAGGAAUGGGUAGAAAUCAUAGUGUCCUGGGGAAAUGAUCUUUAGAUGGACUACUCUUAAAUGACACCCUCUUUGGAGACUCUAUUCCUUUCUACAAUCCCAGCCUCCCUUUACCACCAUGGGUAACAUUUGGAGCCUAUUAGUUUGCGUCAUUGAAAACUGCAGGAAUCUGCCUUGUCUCUUCCUCCUCACUACUACUCAUUUCUAGAAGCAGGCAAAAUGUGUCUGACUUCUCCUGAGACUGAGCAACUAUUCUUGAGGUAGGGUAUCCUGGUAGGAAUUGAUCUUUUUUUUCCACUGAUUGCUCUGGACACUCAGGACAUUGGCAGUUUGACUCACUUAUGUACUAUCCAUCCUUGAUGUGAGUAAAACUGAAACUAACACUGUCCCCUUCAAGAAGUAAUGACUUUGUGAAGGUCUUGGGAUCACUUAUGAUGAAAUGGGCAGGCAGUUGGGUGGGCGAAGUUCACCCAGAUGCAGGUACACCGACAAAGGAUUCUAUCCGUGGGCACUGUGAAGGAAAAUCUGCAAUUUCAGUA